AUUGAACGCUGGCGGCAGGCCUAACACAUGCAAGUCGAACGAGUGGCGGACGGGUGAGUAAUGUCUGGGAACCUGCCCGAUGGAGGGGAAUAACUACUGGAAAAGGUAGCUAAUACCGCAUACCAUCGGAUGUGCCCAGAUGGGAUUAGCUAGGAGGUGGGGUAAAGGCUCACCUAGGCGACGAGCCCUAGCUGGUCUGAGAGGAUUACCAGCCACACUGGAACUGAGACACGGUCCAGACUCCUACGGGAGGCAGCAGUGGGGAAUAUUGCACAAUGGGCGCAAGCCUGAUGCAGCCAUGCCGCGUGUAUGAAGAAGGCCUUCGGGUUGUAAAGUACUUUCAGCGGGGAGGCGUUACCCGCAGAAGAAGCACCGGCUAACUCCGUGCCAGCAGCCGCGGUAAUUC
rnacentral:rRNA from 1 species